rnacentral:rRNA from 1 species
AUUGAACGCUUGCGGCAGGCCUAACCCCUGCCAGUCGGACGAGCGGCGGACGGGUGAGUAAUGUAUGGGGAUCUGCCUGAUGGGGGGGGAUAACUACUGGAAACGGUAGCUAAUACCGCAUACCAUCAGAUGCACCCAUAUGGGAUUAGCUGUUGGGUGAGGUAACGGCUCACCUAGGCGACGAUCCCUAGCUGGUCUGAGAGGAUGAUCAGCCAAACUGGGACUGAGACACGGCCCAGCCUCCUACGGGAGGCAGCAGUGGGGAAUAUUGCACAAUGGGCGCAAGCCUGAUGCAGCCAUGCCGCGUGUAUGAAGAAGGCCUUCGGGUGGUAAAGUACUUUCAGUCGGGAGGCGUUACCGACAGAAGAAGCACCGGCUAACUCCGUGCCAGCAGCCGCGGUAAUUC